rnacentral:lncRNA from 1 species
AUGAAUUGUUUACAGGUACAACUAUCGCUUCGUAUACAUGAGAAAUUCCUAUGUAUACGGUGGGUCUGUUGGCGUGCCCGAGGAAACGUGGUAAUCUGGGCCGUGACACCACGCGUAUAAUAUAUUGUAAUGUUUUGUAGAACUAUUUAAAAUCAACGUAUUUAAUAUGUUGUAAUUUUAGAAUUAUUUUACUUUAGAGAUUAAUUUUGUAGCAUUAUUUAAAAGAAAUUGUAAUGUUGGUAAAUGUUUAAAUUCGACAAGUUUAGACAUUAAUUUUGUAUCACUAAUUAAAAUAUAUUUGAAUGUGUGUAAAUAUUUAAAUUCAACAUAUUUAAUAUGUUUAAAAAAAAUUUAAAAUUUUUUAAAUUUAAACAUUAAUUUUGUAUCACUAUAUAAAAAAAUUGAAUGUGGUAAUUGAUUAGAAAUAUUGAGUAUAAU